UGGAGCCUGCGGUUUAAUUGGACUCAACGCCGGGCAGCUCACCGGAUAAGACAGCUGGAUGAUAGCCGGGCUGAAGACUCUGCUUGACUAGCUGAGAGGAGGUGCAUGGCCGUCGUCAGUUCGUACUGUGAAGCAUCCUGUUAAGUCAGGCAACGAGCGAGACCCACGCCAACAGUUGCCAGCAUGUCCUCCGGGAUGAUGGGGACACUGUUGGGACCGCUCUGCUAAAGAGGAGGAAGGAAUGGGCAACGGUAGGUCAGCAUGCCCCGAAUUAUCCGGGCUACACGCGGGCUACAAUGGUCAGGACAAUGGGUAUCGACACCGAGAGGUGGAGGCAAUCUCCUAAACCUGUCCUUAGUUCGGAUUGUGGGCUGCAACUCGCCCACAUGAAGCUGGAAUCCGUAGUAAUCGCGUUUCAAAAUAGCGCGGUGAAUAUGUCCCUGCUCCUU
rnacentral:rRNA from 1 species